rnacentral:rRNA from 1 species
CCUACGGGGAGCAGCAGUGAGGAAUAUUGGUCAAUGGACGCAAGUCUGAACCAGCCAUGCCGCGUGAAGGAUGACGGCCCUACGAGUUGUAAACUGCUUUUGUAAGAGGGUAAAGUGAGACACGUGUACCGGGUUGAAUGUACUGUAUGAAUAAGGAUCGGCUAACUCCGUGCCAGCAGCCGCGGUAAUACGGAGGAUCCGAGCGUUAUCCGGAUUUAUUGGGUUUAAAGGGAGCGUAGGUGGUUUGUUAAGUCAGUUGUGAAAGUUUGAGGCUCAACCCCCAAAUUGCCAUUGAUACUGGUAGACUUGAGAACAGUUGCGGUAGGCGGAAUGCGUGGUGUAGCGGUGAAAUGCUUAGAGAUCAUGCAGAACUCCGAUUGCGAAGGCAGCCUACUAAACU